GGAGUCUCUCUCCAGGCUGGGAGAGAGCAGGGCCUAGCUGCUGGCCCGACAGGGUACUGAGGGUGGGGCAGAUCACUAGCCUUCAGAGGGCACUCCAUGCUGGAAAAGAGCUAAUUCCCAAUGACCAACAGAAGGUGCCGCAGUGGUCCUAAGAAGGAGCAGGGGCAGAGUAACAGUGGGUCUGCUGCAGGUAAAAAUGUUUCCUAGACAGGGCUGGAAUAUACAACCCCAAAGACUUUAAAGUUGCCCUACAAUCCUUCACCCAUGCAGUUUGAAGUCUGUUUCCACCAAAAAAAUGAAGACUCUACAAAAGGCAGGUCUUGUAUUGUUUGUUGGACCUCUGGUGCAAGCCCCAGGGCCUGCAGCCAAGAGCUCUUGUGCAUGGAAACUGCAGAGGCCAUGAUGAUCCUAGGAGCUGAAUCUGCUGCAUCUAGUCUAGGCUGCAGAGAAGUUCUCACUCCAGAUUUUCACUCAUCAUAUAAAGAGGAGAACUCUACUCUAGAAUCCUCCAGCAAUAUGUCCCUAAACUCUAACGUGGACUUGCAAACAUUAUAAUCAUAGCGUCCCAAAAGAGCCUGUUGGCUGGCAAUUCUGAGUUGUAACCCCACAUUAGAAUAAACUUUUCUACCAAAUCUAGUUUUUUAGAUCUUUGAUUUGGGGGUUUGCCCUGAAACUCCCUUUCAUUCGCCGCUAACACCAAAGGAGGGCGUGAGAUGCCUCCCAAGGAAACUGCCUCAUCAGGAAAAGAGGAGGAUGAAGCCAGCCUAGGCUGAGGCUAUUCCUUCUCUGCUGGCUGUCAAGCAGGACCCUCCUGAACCAUCUUUUCCUGCUCAGAAAUGGGCCUGGUACCAGGGUCAGGAACAGGCGGUGCCUAGAAAGUAGACUUCCCAUGCUUCUCUGAGGUCACAGAGCAGGAACACCUCGUGUAUGACCUAGAAAUCAGGGGGGAUCCUCAUGGGUUCCAACAGGGCCACUGGACCAAUAUCAGGAGCAGCUCUACCAAUUUUGCUGCCCCAAGCAGUCGCCAUCAAAUUGCUGCUGCCAUAACAGCGGCAGAGGUGCCACCGAAUUGCUGCCGCCCCCGCCCCCAGAGGAGCAGCGGAGCUGCUGCCCAAAAGCUGCUGCGGCGGGAAGAGCAGCAGAGCUGCCGCCAAACUGCCACUGAGGGACAUGGACUGCCGCACCCUUCUGAAUGCUGCCCAAGUACCUGCCUGGAAAGCUGGUGCCUGGAGCUGGCCCUGACCAGUAGGAAGACCCAGUGACUCCCUGACCACAUGCCCGAUCCUCUUCCAGCUGGAGGAUCUCAAAGAAACCUAGGGAAGUAACACCUAAGUGGGGAGUAGUGUGACUGGCUCCAAAGUUGGGAAAUGUAAGAGCCAAGCUCCAAAUCGGAGGAGUACAAAUCACCUUCUGCUGAUCAAGGGGGAGCUGCUCCUGAUGGUGCCAGAAACUAGUGCCCAGUCAGCGGAGAGUGGAGAUCAGCGAAUGCUGCAGGCAUCCUAUUCAACAGUACCAAUGGGCGUGAAGUCUGAGACACUGGAGGUAGUUGCAGCACCAAUAAACUGGUGACCCUCUGUCUGCCUGUACCCGGGGCGUGAUCUCCUGCAGUGCCAGGGACACCAUCACAGAUAGGCUCCGCAGAUCUCUGCCACAAACACCUCUGAAGCAGUGGAUGCCAAGAUGGUCUCAUGUCACUGUGGUCAAGUCCAGGUGCCCCUUCAGGCCCUAGACUUGACAUUAUUUGCCUCAGGGCUGGAGUCAACAUUGCUGAUUUUGGAGCUACCAGAGAAGAGUGCUUGGAUUUUGGCUGCACUCUACUCUCAUCCCUAUGCUUAGAGGAUUUUGAUACCAGAGACCUUCCUCUCCCAGUUGUCUGUUUAGAGGUCUUGUGCCUCUUUUUAGAUACUGGAGAGGUGAGCAAUGCCAGGAAGGGUAAAUGAAAAUGAGUUUAUUUGCACAGACAAAAUGUAUAUCUAUAUUUGGCACAACAUUUAUUAGACUAGUUUUCAAGACCACUGCCUUGUAUCCAAAGUCUGUUUCCCAAUAUGGUAAAGAAAUACAUAGUUCAAAACACGUUACAUUUGCUUUAUGUAGAAGGUCUGGAGUGUGAUCAGCACUUUCUACAGACAUCUGUCUACAAUGAAUUUUCAAAUCUGUGUCCGAAUAGUGAGUUAACUCAAAAGCACACUGAAGUCAGUUUAAAUGCAACUAUCUAUCUAUUAUUACCUGGAAAAAAAAUGUUGAAGUCACUGGAGUAGUUCUGAGGGGGAAAAAGGAAAAAUAAAAAGACCCUAAGUGCAUGAGCAACAGCAGUAAUACAGAAAGUGGCUCAGGUAAUUCACAGCCUGCACAAAGCAUUUAGUUUAUCUAAUAAAUAAAAUUGGAAGAGAAGGGGCUCUGGGUAAUUCCCCAGAAAUAGAAACAUCUAUUCUAAUCUUACCUUUGAGUCAUAUGCUGACUGUUUUAUUACUUCAGGUGCCAUCCAGAAUGGAGUUCCCACGAAAGUAUUUCUCUUUAUCUGUGUAUCUGUUAGUUGUCCUGCUACUCCAAAGUCUGCUAAUUUUACCUCUCCUUGUUCAGAUAGCAAAACAUUGGCAGCUAGCAAAGAAAAAAAGGCAGUUUAAAAGUUUACAUUUUUGAUGUUUCAAAGGUUUUCCUUAAUCUAUUGUUUGAACAUUUAACCAAAACUAUUUUAAAAAAAUUAUUAAAUAACUUACCUUUAAUAUCUCUAUGGAUUUUCUUUUCUGAAUGCAAGUAAUCGAGUCCUUUAAGUAUCUCUCUUAAUAUUGUAGCAAUCUGGAUUUCAUCGAGACAGCCAGGCUCUAACUAGGAGAAACAUGCAAAAAAUAUCUGUAAAUACCUGUAAACUACAAAUGAGAUGACACAGAAAUAAUAGGAAAAAAUAAACUAAAAAUGCCAUAUGUGCUUGUGAAUAAGUAAAAGUAGUCAACAAUGUUUUGUUUUUAUUGCUUUUGAUGCUAAUUUUCUCUCUCCUUCAUUCAGUGUAAUCACCUGCUCCUUCUCUCCCUCUCCUUCUCCCCCCACCCCGUUGUGCAUAAAUGUGCUCACCCAGAGGCAAGUUACCUGCAUUCUAAUAAAUUGAGAUGUGCAAGUGUUCAAUUCCUAGU